GGCCGAUUAUCGCAAAUCAUAGGUAUGUUGUUAUCGUUUCAAAACUCUGAAUCCAUUGGUCUACACAUUUUAGGACAAAAUUGAAACUUUCAAGUACCUAAAAUACCCCUAAGUGUUGGCCAACACAAAAGACAACCCAAACUAAUUUUUUUCAAAAAAAAAAAAAAAUUUGGUACAAUUAAUCAUAGAUCAACAAAAUAUAAGAGCGUUUAAGAAAAGAAUAAAAUUUUAACCCAUCUUCAAAAUUUUCAAAAUGAUCAAAGACGAAAAUUUCUUUUAGAUCCAUGCAUAUUUUGACUCGAUCUGUUACUUUCGUGAAAUAAUAAGCAAAAUAUAUCAAAAAUCAAACACCAUAUCCCCUAUAGAGCAUUUUAACCCAAAAACAACAAAGAAGGAGAAAGAUUAAUAUGAUUUACCUUAAAAGAGAGCUUCUCACACUAAGAUUCAACUUCCACCUAGCUUAGAUGCUCAAAAUUUAGAAGGAAAAUAAAAAUAAAAAAUGUUGGGGGGAGAAGGGUUUUGAGGCCGCCGAUGAGAAAGAGAAAGAGAG
rnacentral:lncRNA from 1 species